CUUAAGUGGGGAAUAACGCAUCGAAAGGUGUGCUAAUACCGCAUAAUCUCUGAGGAGAAAAGCAGGGGAUCGCAAGACCUUGCGCUUUUGGAGCGGCCGAUGUCUGAUUAGCUUGUUGGUGAGGUAAAAGCUUACCAAGGCUUCGAUCAGUAGCUGGUCUGAGAGGACGACCAGCCACACUGGGACUGAGACACGGCCCAGACUCCUACGGGUGGCAGCAGUGGGGAAUUUUGGACAAUGGGGGCAACCCUGAUCCAGCCAUGCCGCGUGAGUGAAGAAGGCCUUCGGGUUGUAAAGCUCUUUCAGCCGGAACGAAACGGUUACGGUUAAUACCCGUGACUACUGACGGUACCGGAAGAAGAAGCACCGGCUAACUACGUGCCAGCAGCCGCGGUAAUACGUAGGGUGCGAGCGUUAAUCGGAAUUACUGGGCGUAAAGCGUGCGCAGGCGGUUUUGUAAGUCAGAUGUGAAAUCCCCGGGCUUAACCUGGGAACUGCGUUUGAAACUACAAGGCUAG
rnacentral:rRNA from 1 species